AUUGAACGCUGGCGGCAUGCCUUACACAUGCAAGUCGAACGGUAACAGGUCUUCGGAUGCUGACGAGUGGCGAACGGGUGAGUAAUACAUCGGAACGUGCCUAGUAGUGGGGGAUAACUACUCGAAAGCGUGGCUAAUACCGCCUGAGAUCUACGGAUGAAAGCAGGGGAUCGCAAGACCUUGUGCUACUAGAGCGGCCGAUGGCAGAUUAGGUGGUUGGUGGGAUAAAAGCUUACCAAGCCGACGAUCUGUAGCUGGUCUGAGAGGACGUUCAGCCACACGGGGACGGAGCAAAGGCCCAGCCUCCUACGGGAGGCAGCAGUGGGGAAUUUUGGACAAUGGGCGAAAGCCUGAUCCAGCAAUGCCGCGUGCAGGAUGAAGGCCUUCGGGUUGUAAACUGCUUUUGUACGGAACGAAAAGCUCUGGGUUAAUACCCUGGGGUCAUGACGGUACCGUAAGAAUAAGCACCGGCUAACUACGUGCCAGCCGCCGCCGUAAUAC
rnacentral:rRNA from 1 species